rnacentral:lncRNA from 1 species
GCUAUGUGAAGUGAUAUUGCCUCUUCUGCUGUUCUUGCUCCUGUAUCCAGCUUGGUCCCUGUUUUAUGCAUCUCUUGGAGGCAGGCUGCUUCCUUAAUUAGGCCAGUGUCACAAAGGCAGCCAAUAGUGAAAGUUUUUUACUUCUUUCAAAGUCUCUUCCUGGUACUCUCCUUUCUUGUUUUUCUUCAGGAAGAAACUUAACAUUUUUUAGGGCAUUAAAUAUUGUAAAGUAUUUUGAUACUCAUUUCAAGACACAUUAAAGUCAAAGUGCUAGAAUGAC